ensembl:snRNA U1 U1 spliceosomal RNA
AUGCUUAUCUAGCAAGGGUGAUUCCAUUAUCAUGAAGGUGGUUUCACCAAGAAGAUACUUAUUCCUUACAUUCUGGAUGGGCUGAUUCUUAUUUCCUCAAAGGCAGGAAACUCUUGAUUAUUUAAUUUGUAACAAUGGAGAACUGCCAUGUUCACGCUCUCCC